rnacentral:rRNA from 3 species
GGUUGACCUCGGAUCAGGUAGGGAUACCCGCUGAACUUAAGCAUAUCAAUAAGCGGAGGAAAAGAAACCAACCGGGAUUGCCUCAGUAACGGCGAGUGAAGCGGCAAGAGCUCAAAUUUGAAAUCUGGCCCCUUCGGGGUCCGAGUUGUAAUUUGCAGAGGAUGCUUCGGAUGCGGCCCCUGUCUAAGUGCCCUGGAACGGGCCGUCGGAGAGGGUGAGAAUCCCGUCUGGGAUGGGGUGUCCGUGUCCGUGUGAAGCUCCUUCGACGAGUCGAGUUGUUUGGGAAUGCAGCUCUAAAUGGGUGGUAAAUUUCAUCUAAAGCUAAAUACUGGCCGGAGACCGAUAGCGCACAAGUAGAGUGAUCGAAAGAUGAAAAGCACUUUGAAAAGAGAGUUAAACAGCACGUGAAAUUGUUGAAAGGGAAGCGCAUGCGACCAGACUCGCUCGCGGGGUUCAGCCGGCAUUCGUGCCGGUGUACUUCCCCGCGGGCGGGCCAGCGUCGGUUUGGGCGGCCGGUCAAAGGCCCCCGGAAUGUAUCACCUCUCGGGGUGUCUUAUAGCCGGGGGUGCAAUGCGGCCAGCCUGGACCGAGGAACGCGCUUCGGCACGGACGCUGGCAUAAUGGUCGUAAGCGACC